rnacentral:piRNA from 1 species
UCUGGUUGAAAGUGACCCUGGUGAUUUC